rnacentral:ncRNA from 1 species
CUUUAGGCAUUGACGAAGAGUAGUAGCUAUUACAGAUUCUUUAGAGAGCUGAUGGUUGGUGCAAAUCAGUGAAGAUGUAUUAGUGAAUGGACUUCCGAGCCUCCAAACCGAACUCCUAUGGAUAGUAGGCUUUGGCGAAAAAUCUCAUCGUUACAAGAGAUAGGUAUUAAAGUGUAAAGCUUUGAUACUGGUAAAGUGAGCUAAUAUUUAGCUAAUAAAGGUGGCACCACGGGUCUUCCGUCCUUUUU